rnacentral:sRNA from 1 species
GUUGCCACCUAUUCUUCAGUGUCAGAGUGGCCAUCUUGUUUGUAGCAACUGUCG